rnacentral:rRNA from 1 species
GACGAACGCUGGCGGCGUGCCUAAUACAUGCAAGUAGAACGCUGAAGGAGGAGCUUGCUUCUCUGGAUGAGUUGCGAACGGGUGAGUAACGCGUAGGUAACCUGCCUGGUAGCGGGGGAUAACUAUUGGAAACGAUAGCUAAUACCGCAUAAGAGUAGAUGUCGCAUGACAUUUGCUUAAAAGGUGCCAUUGCAUCACUACCAGAUGGACCUGCGUUGUAUUAGCUAGUUGGGGAGGUAAAGGCUCACCAAGGCAACGAUACAGAGCCGAGCUUAGAGGGUGAUCGGCCAAACCGGGAAUGGGAACCGGCCCAGGCUUCCACGGGAGGGAGCAGGAGGGGAACUUUGGCAAUUGACGGAAAUCUUACCGAGCAAAGCCGCGGGAGGGAAGGAGGUUUUCGGAUCGUAAAACUCUGUUGUAUGGGAAGAAAGAGCGUGAGGGUGGAAAGUUCACGCUGUGACGUUAUCUUAACAGAAAGGGACGGCUAACUACGUG